rnacentral:rRNA from 1 species
GAUGAACGCUGGCGGCGUGCCUAAUACAUGCAAGUCGAGCGAACAGAUAAGGAGCUUGCUCCUUUGACGUUAGCGGCGGACGGGUGAGUAACACGUGGGUAACCUACCUAUAAGACUGGGAUAACUUCGGGAAACCGGAGCUAAUACCGGAUAACAUUUGGAACCGCAUGGUUCUAAAGUUAAAGAUGGUUUUGCUAUCACUUAUAGAUGGACCCGCGCCGUAUUAGCUAGUUGGCAAGGUAACGGCUUACCAAGGCUACGAUACGUAGCCGACCUGAGAGGGUGAUCGGCCACACUGGAACUGAGACACGGUCCAGACUCCUACGGGAGGCAGCAGUAGGGAAUCUUCCGCAAUGGGCGAAAGCCUGACGGAGCAACGCCGCGUGAGUGAUGAAGGGUUUCGGCUCGUAAAACUCUGUUAUUAGGGAAGAACAAAUGUGUAAGUAACUGUGCACGUCUUGACGGUACCUAAUCAGAAAGCCACGGCUAACUACGUG